rnacentral:rRNA from 1 species
AUGAUCGAUUACCCCUCCGGCGGAGUGCCGGCGAAGGCUCCAAGAAGGCAUCUCGCGGAUACAGACUGUUACGACGGUGGAAAUUGUGUUUCGUUGUGCUCCUGGAUGUUUUCGGGGUACGUAGGUAUAUAUAGGAGGAAAAACUACGUCGGUGGCCGCCCGAGAGGCCUACGAGAUAGGGGGGCGCCCUCCUAUCUCGUGGCCGCCUCGGCUGCUUCUUGGCUUGCACUCCAAGUCCUCCGGAUCACGUUCGUUCCAAAAAUCACGCUCCCGAAGGUUUCAUUCCGUUUGGGCUCCGUUUGA